ensembl:lncRNA
UCUAUCUGGAGAUCACUCCUCUUGGAGCCCUUCUGUGAGACCAGGACAUGGAACAUGAUGUACAAACUGAAGAAACCUGGUCAUCAGCUGGCAAUUUCAGCUCAAAGGAACAUCUGAUUCCUAAAGUUACAGAACUUGUCUGAAAGAUUUGUUUGAAAAAGAGAAUGAACUACUCAAUGUCCCAGGACCCAAAUGUAGCAUCAUAUUGGACACUAUGAAGAAAACAAUUCAUUCCCAGCUGAAACUAAGACACCUGUCAUCUUCUGUGCCUAAAUCUGAUUUGGUUUUCAGUAUGGCUUAUUUCUCUUUGCUGACGUAGCCUGAAGCCUAUGCAAAGGAACAACAGAAAUUAUGCACAGGACAAAAAGUCCUUGAAGAUGUAGGCUCCCAAAGUAAUUAUAGAAUCACAGAAUCACUAAGGUUGGUAAAGACCUCUAAGAUCAUCUAGUCCAGCCACCCACCUACUACCAAUAUCUCCAACUAAACCACAUUCCUUAGUACUGCAUCUCCAUGAUUCUUGAACACCUCCAGGGAUGUGAGUCAGCCACGUCCCUGGGAAGCCCAUUACAGCACCCGACCACUUUUUCAAAGUUUUUCCUAGUAUCUAAACUGAACCUUCUCUGGCACAACUUGAGGACAUUUCCUCUCAUCCUGUGUUUGGUGAUGUGAGAGUGCUUCAUCCUCUCUAGGAGCACCAGCAGGAAUGGAUAAGCAAAUAGACGUUAGAAGAGUGUAGUAAAGUCUUUUAAGAUAUGAAGAUGCUGCUAUAUGGUCUAGUCUGGUGGCUGUGAGUAAAGGCUGUCACAGGUUCUGGGACAGACCUGUUAGCUUUAUUUUCAAAUGAGCCAAUCACCAAAAAUUUCUCCUGAAUCUGUGAUGUGUUUCUAACACUCAUGGUUUCAUGUGCUAUGAGUUUCAAUGUCCCUCUGUGAAAUGAGGAACAAACACUCAUAAAUUCCAUGUCAGCAACUUUGACAGUAUUUAAAUCAAUGUCUGCUUGUUUUUUUUUCCUUUUGUAGGAAGCAUUUUUCCUGGUCUGAGUUAGUGAUGGUAUCCCCCACCUAAGGGUACACUGUCACUCAGCUGGUCCAUAUCUGUCAGUAAUAAUGUACUUUUGAUAUACAGCAAGCUGUGUACAAGGAUGGGGCAUAGUGCCCUUGUAUAUCUACUGACCCUGUUGGAAUGUUCUGUCACUUAGCAGCCAAAAGUAGAUAUGGAGGGAAGAUAAGGAUGGGGUAAUUCUGCAGUGAUAUUGCCUCUCAUCCUAAUGGUGAUGUGUUAGUGACUCUUCCAUAUAAAGACUUGCAUAUUGGUAUCAACUAGAUCCAAGGGUUUUCAGCUAUUUAUGUGGUUACCUACUGUAGAUGUAGAUUUUGGGCUUGUACAUCAUUUUGUAAUCAAGUUGACAGUAUAUUCUAAUGAAAGGCAAAAUGUUCCUUAUGUUUUCUAUUUUGGCCCUGCCAUCUGAUGAAAUAAUAUAUGCCAAAAUUUCUAACUGGGAAUGCCCUAUACUGUAACUAUAAGGCAAAUGUUUUUAGACCAGCAUCUUUUUUUCUAGGUGGCCACAGUUCACAGCCAAUCCAUCUGUGUAUGACUGUUCUUGGUGCAUAUAUCUCCAUUUUUCAACAAUUAAUGUCAUCUGCUACUUUGUCUAGUGACUUAGUCCUAGUUACUUAGUGUUUCUUAACUGUUUCAUUUUUGUUUUUAUGAUCCUAAAAAAUUCAGUAUCAGUGGAUUUUGCACACUCCUCCACAUGUUUUUUCAGAAUCAUUCACAAGUAUAUAACAAACUAUAGCAAAACCCAUUUUCAGAUGUAAAUGGUCACUUUCAUCCUUUGUGAACAUGAACAGUUUAUUUCUCUUUUUCUCAUUCUUAUCUAGACAAUAAUACAAUAAAAACUUCCUUUCUGGUUGUUUUGCAUUCCUCUUUUCUUGGGGACAUUUUAAGGUAUUUGAGGUAAACAUUUAAAAACAUACAAAAACAUAACAUAAAUCCCUUGCCUGUGUUAAAAGAAUUCCAGCACAUUGUAGAGAUAUUAACCUGGUUAAAGGUCCAUGUUAGCUCUUCUCCUAACAUCAUAUUAAAACGUUAUC